UUAAACUCUAUCAAUAUUCUUCUAAUGCCGUU
rnacentral:sRNA from 1 species